AUGAGCGAGUCGAGCUCGAAGGCCAGCUAGCCCUUGGCCUCCAAGCAGGAAAAGGACAGCAUGGAAAAGCGAGGCUGGGCCUCCAAAGGAGCCUAGUGAAGUGCCAACACCCAAGAGACCUCGGGGCCGACCAAAGGGGAGCAAAAACAAGGGUGCUGCCAAGACCCGGAAAACCUCCACAGCUCCAGGAAGGAAGCCAAGGGGCCGACCCAAAAAACUGGAGAAGGAGGAAGAGGAGGGCAUCUCGCAGGAGUCCUCUGAGGAGGAGCAGUGACCACGCCGUGCCGCCUGCUCCGUCAUCCAAG